rnacentral:rRNA from 1 species
GCGGUAUGCUUAACACAUGCAAGUCGAACGGUAGCAGGCCUUCGGGCGCUGACGAGUGGCGGACGGGUGAGUAAUGCAUAGGAAUCUGCCUAUUAGUGGGGGAUAACGUGGGGAAACUCACGCUAAUACCGCAUACGACCUACGGGUGAAAGCUGGGGGCCUUCGGGCCUGGCGCUAAUAGAUGAGCCUAUGUUGGAUUAGCUAGUUGGUAGGGUAAAGGCCUACCAAGGCGACGAUCCAUAGCUGGUCUGAGAGGAUGAUCAGCCACACUGGGACUGAGACACGGCCCAGACUCCUACGGGAGGCAGCAGUGGGGAAUAUUGGACAAUGGGCGAAAGCCUGAUCCAGCAAUACCGCGUGUGUGAAGAAGGCCUGAGGGUUGUAAAGCACUUUCAAUGGGAAGGAAUACCUACCGGUUAAUACCCGGUAGACUGACAUUACCCAUACAAGAAGCACCGGCUAACUCCGUGCCA